CCUAGCAAAGCUUGGCUCAGGACCCAGCUCCAGCAGUCCUGGAGGACAGAGGAUCGAGCCAGAGGAUUCUUCUCAAGCCUCAAACUCUGUUUCUUGCUUAGUUUGGACCUCCUCAGCCCUGUCACCCCUUCCUUCUUCCGGUUGCUCCCCUUCGGAGUGGGAGUGCCCGUCCGGUGCCCCACCGUUGCUGGAGGGACAGGCCCACAGCCGGAGAGGAAUCCGCCUCAGGAGAAACGCAGCUGGGGUCUCCCCCACCCCUGACUCGGAUGAGAUUGAGAUCAGACUUCGGAGUAGCUGCUGGAAUGAGUUAACACUCGGCUGUUGUGAUGGAGUGAAUGUAGUUCUCAUGCGAGAAGGACGUGAAUCUGGGGGCCAGGAGUGGACCGCUAUGGUCCGAACGUCCCCCCCCUGAAGUUCACAUGUGGAAACCGCCCCCCAGCGGCGAUGGUAGUCAGAGGCGGGGCCUCUGGGAGGUGACGAGGCCCUGAGGACUAGGGACUGGGGUCCGUGCCCUGAUGAAGGAGGCCCCAGGGAGCACCCUCGCCCCUUCCGCACUGUGAGGACACAGUGAGAAGAUGCCGUCUGUGAACAAGGAAGUGAGCUGUGGCCAGUGUAGAGAGCAGGACGGAGGCACUCAUGCCAAGCAGUGACUUUCGUCAUCAGUGACACAGCAGCCAACGGUGCUGAGCUAAGACCAGGCACCACCCAGACCAGCACCGGCUGGAGACACCCCGGAACUGAUCACCAGCAGGAGCAGGGGAGAUCUGCAGGGGCCCAAGGCUGAUGACAUCCCUUUAAAAAGGGAGGGCAGACGUGACCCCUCUGUGUCUGACCACCUCAGAAAGGCAGCUGCCGCCAAAGCCUCUGUCCGGUUCAUCUCCAACAGGAACAGAGACCCUCCGCUGCUUGGACAUAAUAAACAGUGAGCACCGAGGGCUGACCCGGAACUGACCGAGGCCUUAUCUCAACCUCGCACCCACAGACUUUGCGUUCGGUUGGUGAACUUCCUACCCCAUGCCGUAUCUUGUCUGUUGUGUGGCUCGUCUUGUGCUUUGCUUUGUGCGAGGUGUAAGAAGCCGUGUUAAAUGCUUAGUGGAGGGUCAUUGAGUUUAGAAUCCUGAAUCUGCUUUACAGUUAUGUCAACCUUGCUUUCUGACCGAAUCAAGCCGCCGUUGGGAAAGACACACCUCGUUCAUGUGUGUGCCUUCGUACCGUGCUCAUGACAACUGGACACCAAAUCUGCUGGCGCCCUGUCCUCGGACUUCCAGCCUCCAGAACUGUGAGACAUACAUGUCUGUCAUUCAUAAGCCAUCCUGUCUGUAUUCUUCCGCCACAGCAGCCUGAGUGGACGAGAACAGCAUUUGUACCAUUAUGGUGACCCAGGUGCACUGAGGUCUGACCAAGAGGAGCCGAUACAGUUGAGAGAAGUCAAGGAAUUAGAAUGGAUAGGAGAGUAAGAGAGACAGAAAACCAAGGACCACCCAUGCAGACUUACAGUGUGGAUGACUAACAGUCACUAAAGGCUGGAGAAGAUGAAGGUCUGGAGAGGCUCCACAGCUGACACCUUCUUUCCAGCUUCGAGCUCUUCAGGAGUCAUCCUCCCUGGGCCAUGCCCUACAGCUGCACCCUCUGGAUAAGAUAGCACCUGCUGAACUGGCAUCUGUCUUGUCACUUAUCUGGCCUCACCUCUGAGUCCCUGUUCUUCCUAAGAGAGGUUUCUGGUUUGCCGAUCCAGCUCUUUCCCAGGCCCAGGACCGCAGGGGAGCAGACACCUGGGACCUGCUUUUCUACACUCGAUCUUAGCCAAAAGGCCGAGGAGCGAUGGGGCCUGCUCUUCUAGAAGGGACUUUCAGCUGCUCGCAUUCUGUGGGCCACAGCGAGGUACGGGACCAAGCCCCAAAGCAGUGGACGGGUCGUAACAUGUACUGCCUGUGGGGCACCACGGGCAGGCAGGCAAGGAGGGAAAAGCUGUAAUGAAAUAACGCAAUCUCCCGGAGCCCAGAACUACCCCCAGACCUGUUUCUCCUCAGCCAUUUUGUGCCUUAAUAGGCACCGACCCUCCCUUUGGCCAGUCAAGGAGCCAGCCAUGAGUGUGUUGACCCGCAGACCACCUGGCCAGGAACACACAGAGGCACAGGUGUUGAGACCCGGCUCAAGCAAGCAGCCGUGUGCCGCCACAUGGAGCUCUGGUGUCACAGGGGGAUAGGAGGAGGGGGGACCAUAGUGUAGCCACAGCAGGGCCAGUGGGCUCCUCCCCAGACCAGUGCAGCGGUCUGCUCUCAGAGCAGGACUCCCCAGAACUCCCAGCAGUGUGACGAAUGAUCCAAUUUCCUCUUAAAAUCCCUUUUGAACACAUAAACAUGUGGCUUGAACGACACACAUUUAUUCUUUCUCAGUGCCGGAGUCAAGGUCAAGGUAAAGGCAGGGAUUGUUGCUCCUGAGGCCUCUCUCCUGGGACUGUGGAUGGGGUCUUCCCCUGUGUCCUCAAAAGGUCAUCCCUGUGUGUGCCUCUCUGUCCCAACUUUUUUUUUUUUUUGAGAGAGAGAGAGCAAGCAGGGGAGGGGCAGAGAGAGAGAGAGAGACAGAGGCUCUGAAGCAGGCUCUGUGCUGACAGCAGAGAGCCCGAUCUGGGCUCAAACUCACGAACCAAGAGAUCAUGACCUGAGCCGAAGUCGGAUGCUUAACCGACUGAGCCACCCAGGCAUCCCUGUCCCAAAUGCUUCGAAGGACACCAGCCAAAAUGGAUCAGGGCCCACCCUAAUGGCCUCAUUUUGCCUGAAUCACCUCCGUAAAGGCCCCAUCACCGAAUACAGUCACAGUCUGAGCGACUGGGGGUCAAGCCUUCAAUAUAUGAGUUUCAGAGGGACGCAGCUCAGUCCAUUACAGCCGCGGCCGUAUCUUGCAGCCCGGGACGCUGACCACUAGACCUGCCACUCUAGCCCCAGUUCAGGCUCCUCCUUUCUCACCAACACAACGGCCCCUCUAACUUCAGCUCUGGUCUUAUUACCCUCAAAUCCAGGCAGGAUUCUAAUGUCACUCCAAGAGUCUCAUCCCCUAAAGAGUAAGUUGAGAAACUGCUGAUGUAAUUAAGGCCGCCGACCCGAAACUAGGGGAAGUAUCCUGGAUCAUCCAGCUGGGCCCGGCCUAGUACCUGGAGCCCUUAAAAGCAGAGAUUUCUCUGGCUAGAGGCAGAGGAGGAGAGAUCAAAGCAUGAGAGAGACUCAAACGGCUGUCCCUGAAGGGCGCCAGGAGGCAAGGAACACAGGCAGUGUCUGGAAUCUGACAGACAGCAAGCUAGGAAAGAGGAAACUCAUCCUAAGACCGCUUGGACCUGAAUCCUACCAACACCCUGAAUGAGCCUGCAAACCACUCUUUCCUGGAGUCUCCAUAAAGCCCACCUGGCGGACCCCUGGAUUUCAGCCUUGCCGGGGCCACCGGACUUUUGAACUACAGAACUGUGAGACAGUAAGCUGGCGUGUGAAACCAUUUACUUUGCAAUGGUUUGUUGCAGCAAUGAUAGGAAACACCGUGAUCUGUACGGCAGAGUGACCUUUUCUAAAGUACAAAUAUGUUCAUAGCUCUCCUGUUUAAAAUCCUCAAUGGGGGCACCUGGGUGGCUCGGUGGGUUAAGCAUGUGACUUCGGCUCAGGUCAUAGUCUCACCAUUUGUA